GCCUGGAAUGGAGAUGCCAAGAGUCCUCAGAAUGGAUAGUUCUUGUCAUACUGAAAUGAUGGGCCAUAAACCAAAUCAAUCGGCCUCAUCCUGAUUCUUAUUAGAAAGUAGAAGAAACAAGAGGUUGAGGAAGGACAAGUGAAUCUCAGUUUUUUAGGAGCACUCAUUCUGAUAUGUGUAGUCAACACAUGGAUAAAGGGACCAUGCGAUAGAUAUUCGAAAAGGAAUUGGAGAGAAGAAAGAAAAAGAACAACAGAAUGUGGAAUCAGGACUACACAGAGUAUGCAUCUGGGCUUUGCAUCUAUUUGGGUAACACCAAGCAAGUCCUUCAAACUUUGUUUGUUUUAUCAUCUGGAAAAC